CUGGACUGAAAAGAACAGCGUGUGGUCAUUACGGAGCUGAAAGCCAAGAUGGAGAGCAUUUUUCAGCACGAGUCCUUCACAGUUGCCUUGGAUCAUUGGAUUGCUGAGAAGAGCUAAGUCAUCCACAUCUGAUCAUCUUACAAUAUUGCUGUUACUUGGUACACAGCAAAGUACUUUGUACUUUGUUCACUUCCACUGAAGGAAGGAUUGGAAAGCAGACACAGCCAGGUGGCACAGGAGGUGGAGUGAUCUGGAGUCAGAAGAGCCCAAGUGUCCAUCCACACUCAUACCUGUGGGACCUGGCCAAGAUGUCAUCUUUGUCAGCAUCAGUUUUCUUAUCUGGAAAAUGGGGGUGAUAGCAGCACCCCCUCCUAGGGAUGUUGUGAGGACCAAAUGAGUUCAUCUUUGUAAAAAGUGUUUCGUAAACCUGAAACACACAUUCCAAUAAUCAUGAUGGUUUUCCACUCCCUCCUAUCUCACACAAUCCAGAUGCUCAGCCCCUAGAACACAAGAGGAUUGGACAUUA